GCUUUAGAGACACCUCAGUCUAAUGGCCUCCUUGUUUAAUUACCUUAACAGGAGCUAAAUUUGGAGAUAGGUGGGGUUCUCUCUUGUCUCGCUCCAGCCUCAGCCUUAGACAAGCCCUGCGCAAAGGGUGGAACUUUCUCGGCCGUCCUGCCGCUUCUCCCUGUGGCAGCUGAACUCUGCCUGUAUCUGUUGUUGGUCUUGCCUGAGAAUUUCUUGCCCAAGAGAUUUUACACCUACUUUUUCCAGAAUAAAUGGAUCUUUGUGCACUAGGGGCAAGAGGGUGUUUUAUCUCUCCGCAGGUAGCUCAAGGCUUAACUUGGCAGGAGAGAAGUUUCCGUGAAAGUCGGCAGGUUUUUUCCUGUUCUCCACAGCCGCUGAGGAUCUGCUCCAUACCUGUUUCAUCGAGGGGCAUUCUCUCUGAUUUCCUGCCCUGCCCCCAUCCUUUCCCAUGAGCGCCUGGAGAGGCAAACAAGAGCUCGAGAGAGAAGGAUAAAGUUUAGUAAGCAGCUUCAUUUUGAAUAACAGCGAAACUGAGACCUGCUAGAACAAGGGUCAUCUGUGUCAUGCUGAGUAUCACGUGGGGAUCCCUAUUCCCCAAGAGCUGAGAUUGACGAUGCGUGUGUAAGUAACACAGAGGUGCAUGAAGAAGCAAAAUUCAGAGAAUAACACUUUUAGUAUUGGAUGGUGGUAAACAGUGUUCCUCCCAAGGUCUCCAGGGCUUCAGGGGAUGAAGAUGAAGCUGAAGCGGCAGUGCUUACAAGGCGAAGAGGCAGCUCUUCCAGCCAACCCUGGCUCUGAACUCACACUUCCAUGGAAUAGUUAGAGUUGGCCUUAAAGAGAAUUCAUUCAAGCUUGACAAACUGUGGGUAAUUGCCACCGGGAUACAGAGAACAGGAUGACAACUUCCUUACAUCAACUUCUGUGAAGGCAAUCAUCAAG
rnacentral:lncRNA from 1 species